GAUUAUUUAGUUUAAAACAAAACAGAUGUUUUGAAAACAUGAGAUAAGAAAGCGUUCUUAAUAAUUG
rnacentral:tRNA from 1 species